rnacentral:lncRNA from 1 species
GGAGCUCAGUAAGGCUUCCCAUGAAUGACCCCAUGCCUAGAAGUUUAUGGAAGCAGAAAUUGUACACAGCGGAUUAUUAAAAACAAGACACAAAGUUGGGGAGAGAAGAAAGGAGGAGGUGGACCUUGGAGGAGUCAGGGAAAAGAGUUAAGAGUGAAUAUGGUCAGAAUACACUGUAUAAGAUUUAUUGAUUUAUUAUGUACACAGUGUUCGGCCUGCAUGUUUGCCUGCAGGCAGAAGAGAGCACCAGACUACAUUACAGAUGGUUGUGAGUCACCAUGUGGUGGCCGGGAAUGGAACUCAGGACCCCUUGAAGAACUUGACAGUGCUCUUAACCUCUGGGGCACCUCUCCAGACCCCCUAAAUAUAUUUUUAAUUGUUUUCAUCUUUUUGAGGAGUUUCUCUGUGUAGCCCUGGCUAUCAUGGAAUUUGCUUUGUAGAUCAGGCUGGCCUCGAACUCAGAGAUCCAAUCACAUCUGCUUCCCAAAAUCUGGGAUCAAAGGUGCGUGCCACCAAGUCUGGCAAAA